rnacentral:rRNA from 1 species
GAUGAACGCUGGUGGCGUGCCUAAUACAUGCAAGUCGAGCGAACGGACGAGAAGCUUGCUUCUCUGAUGUUAGCGGCGGACGGGUGAGUAACACGUGGAUAACCUACCUAUAAGACUGGGAUAACUUCGGGAAACCGGAGCUAAUACCGGAUAAUAUUUUGAACCGCAUGGUUCAAAAGUGAAAGACGGUCUUGCUGUCACUUAUAGAUAGAUCCGCGCUGCAUUAGCUAGUUGGUAAGGUAACGGCUUACCAAGGCAACGAUGCAUAGCCGACCUGAGAGGGUGAUCGGCCACACUGGAACUGAGACACGGUCCAGACUCCUACGGGAGGCAGCAGUAGGGAAUCUUCCGCAAUGGGCGAAAGCCUGACGGAGCAACGCCGCGUGAGUGAUGAAGGUCUUCGGAUCGUAAAACUCUGUUAUUAGGGAAGAACAUAUGUGUAAGUAACUGUGCACAUCUUGACGGUACCUAAUCAGAAAGCCACGGCUAACUACGUG